GGAGUCUAGAUCAGACCAUUCUUAAGUAGAGACCAGUCAAGACACAAUGAAAGCCUGAGCUGGCACAGGGGAAAGAGAAGAAGAGAGAAACCUGAUUUCCUGGUUUGUUUGAUGAUGGAGACCAUUGGAGGAUACCACGGAUAGGAAAACGACAGAAACUGAAUGAUACAUCUGGUCUACCAGGUUUUGGCACACAACAAUGUUAUGCGAUGAACCAUUAUACGGGAAAACAGUGAUUAUGGAAAUAUGGCGAUGUUAAUUAAUGCAUUUCAAGCCACAAUAUCAAGCCAUCUCUACUUCUUCCUGAACACUCUUCUAGAAAGGAUGACAGGCACAGGACCUGCAACGGAGACAGUGUGUCUGCCACCAGCCGCUAAUGACUUGAUGAUGAAGAAAAUCCUUUCCUUUCCUUGUCUCCAGGGCAACAGAAGGAGCCUGACCAUAGAAUGCUGACAUGACAUUGUGAAAGUUACUACCACA
rnacentral:lncRNA from 1 species